rnacentral:rRNA from 1 species
CAGGUGCUGCAUGGCUGCGUCAGCUCGUGUCGUGAGAUGUUCGGUUAAGUCCGCUAACGAGCGCAACCCUCGCUGUGUGUUAUAUGUGUCACACGGGACUGCCGGUCUUAAGCCGGAGGAAGGUGGGGAGUGAUGUCAAGUCAGCAUGGCCUUUAUAUCCUGGGCUACACACACGCUACAAUGGCCAACACAAUAGGUUGCUAAGCCGCGAGGUGGCGCCAAUCCAUAAAGUUGGUCUCAGUUCAGAUUGUAGGCUGCAACCCGCCUGCAUGAAGAUGGAGUUGCUAGUAACCGCAGGUCAGCUAUACUGCGGUGAAUACGUUCCCGGGGCCUU